GUGUCAGCAGCCGCGGUAAUACGUAGGGUGCGAGCGUUGUCCGGAAUUAUUGGGCGUAAAGAGCUCGUAGGUGGUUUGUCGCGUCGGUCGUGAAAUCCCGCAGCUUAACUGCGGGCCUGCGGCCGGUACGGGCAGACUGGAGUGCAGUAGGGGAGACUGGAAUUCCUGGUGUAGCGGUGAAAUGCGCAGAUAUCAGGGGGAACACCGGUGGCGAAGGCGGGUCUCUGGGCUGUUACUGACACUGAGGAGCGAAAGCGUGGGGAGCGAACAGGAUUAGAAACCCUGGUAGUCC
rnacentral:rRNA from 1 species